rnacentral:lncRNA from 1 species
AUGCUACAGGAGACCCAGCCUCAGCUGGAAGCAGCGGUGGAGCAUCGGGGCUUUCUGCCAGGGGAGGCAGGCAGUGGAAGAAAUGCUCUCCCCACUCAUUCCCUGAGUUGUGCAACUGUCUCUCCAGGAAGGGGAAAUGUCUGCAGCCUAUGCAAUCCCUGCUGUCUCUGGUGGGCUAACGUUGAGGUGCUGCUCUUGAGAGGUGCUGAAUGGCCCUUGGACUUGAAGAAUAUCCUGAAUUUCCUCCGUCUUCAGUAACAGAAGAAAAUACUCAACACCAGUUCACUCUACAUUCUGUGUCAUCACCUGGCUCCUUUCUGACAAUUGUCCUGUCUUGACCACAAGGAUAAGGAGACGGACAUCUGCUUAGCUCCUCACUUAGAAAGCUAGAGGCCUUCAAGAAGGUAAGGUAGCUUGUGUAGCAAAGAAAACCUGAACCUGAGAGGUGAACAGUGAUGGUGAUGGCACUCUGCAAAGAGUAAGGGAAACCAGAAAGAAGCAUGGG